rnacentral:rRNA from 1 species
UUUUGCGCAAUGGGGGCAACCCUGACGCAGCAAUGCCGCGUGAGUGAAGAAGGCCUUCGGGUCGUAAAGCUCUGUCAGAUGGGAAGAAAUUGGGUAUAGUUAAUAGCUAUGUUUAUUGACGGUACCAUCAAAGGAAGCACCGGCUAACUCCGUGCCAGCAGCCGCGGUAAUACGGAGGGUGCAAGCGUUAUUCGGAAUCAUUGGGCGUAAAGGGCGCGUAGGCGGUAUGUCAAGUCAGAUGUGAAAUCC